UUGAACGCUGGCGGCAUGCCUUACACAUGCAAGUCGAACGGCAGCGCGGACUUCGGUCUGGCGGCGAGUGGCGAACGGGUGAGUAAUACAUCGGAACGUGCCCUGUUGUGGGGGAUAACUAGUCGAAAGAUUAGCUAAUACCGCAUACGACCUGAGGGUGAAAGUGGGGGACCGCAAGGCCUCACGCAGCAGGAGCGGCCGAUGUCUGAUUAGCUAGUUGGUGGGGUAAAGGCCCACCAAGGCGACGAUCAGUAGCUGGUCUGAGAGGACGAUCAGCCACACUGGGACUGAGACACGGCCCAGACUCCUACGGGAGGCAGCAGUGGGGAAUUUUGGACAAUGGGGGCAACCCUGAUCCAGCAAUGCCGCGUGUGUGAAGAAGGCCUUCGGGUUGUAAAGCACUUUUGUCCGGAAAGAAAUCGCGCUGGUUAAUACCUGGCGUGGAUGACGGUACCGGAAGAAUAAGCACCGGCUAACUACGUG
rnacentral:rRNA from 1 species